rnacentral:rRNA from 1 species
GCAGCAGUGGGGAAUAUUGGACAAUGGGGGCAACCCUGAUCCAGCAAUGCCGCGUGAGUGAUGAAAGCCUUCGGGUUGUAAAGCUUUUUUGUCCGGGACGAUAAUGACGGUACCUGACGAAUAAGCUCCGGCUAACUUCGUGCCAGCAGCCGCGGUAAUACGAAGGGAGCUAGCGUUGUUCGGAAUUACUGGGCGUAAAGGGCGCGUAGGCGGUCUUAUAAGUUUGGUGUGAAAGCCCUGGGCUUAACCUAGGAAUAGCAUUGGAUACUGUAAGACUUGAGACCGAGAGAGGGAAAUGGAAUUGCGAGUGUAGAGGUGAAAUUCGUAGAUAUUCGCAAGAACACCAGUGGCGAAGGCGAUUUCCUGGCUCGGUACUGACGCUAAGGCGCGAAAGCGUGGGGAGCAAACAGGAUUAGAUACCCUGGUAGUCCACGCUGUAAACGAUGAAUGCUAGAUGUUGGGGAUUAAAAUCUUCAGUGUCGUCGCUAACGCAAUAAGCAUCCGC